AGAGUUUGAUCAUGGCUCAGGACGAACGCUGGCGGCGUGCCUAAUACAUGCAAGUCGAGCGGACAGAUGGGAGCUUGCUCCCUGAUGUUAGCGGCGGACGGGUGAGUAACACGUGGGUAACCUGCCUGUAAGACUGGGAUCAACUCCGGGAUAACCGGGGCUUAUACCGGAUGCUUGUUUGAACCGCAUGGUUCAAACAUAAAAGGUGGCUUCGGCUACCACUUACAGAUGGACCCGCGGCGCAUUAGCUAGUUGGUGAGGUAAUGGCUCACCACAGGCGACUGAUGCGUAGCCGACCUGAGAGGGUGAUCGGCCACACUGGGACUGAGACACGGCCCAGACUCCUACGGGAGGCAGCAGUAGGGUAAUCUUCCGCAAUGGACGAAGAGUACUGACGGAGCAACGCCGCGUGAGUGAUGAAGGUUUUCGGAUCGUAAAGCUCUGUUGUUAGGGCAAGAUACAAGUACCGUUCGUAAUAGGGCGGAUACCUUGUACGGUACCUCAACCGAGACAGC
rnacentral:rRNA from 1 species